UGAUGUUGUUUUAAUAGUUGAACUUGUGUAAUCUCCUUUUUUUACUAACAUUCAUAUGCUUGUUUUGUUUUCUAUAUUCAUUGUUUGUAGUGGUAUGUGUUUUUGUACUGCAUGUGACCUACUAGUCGUACUUGCAAUGAUUUAAUUGUGUUUUGGGAUGGUAUUUGCGGCCAGGUGAGGCUGAUUAUUGUUUGCAUCAAUUGAGGGGGUGGUACUGAUGUUGUUUUAAUAGUUGACCUUGUGCAAUCUUUUUUUUCUUUUUACUUGCAUUCAUUUGCUUGUUUUGUUUUCUAUAUUCAUUUUUUAAGGUGUGGCUUUUUUGUUUUCAUUUACAGCCUGUUAGCGUUAGGAGUCCGGUUAAGCCGGUGGGAGGCAAUACUGGAAAAGUUGCCUUGGAUGAAGGUGACCAACGGAAAUUGAACUUAACUGUGCGAUGUUCGUUGAGAGAGGUUGAAGAUUGCACUAAAUUGCUCGAGAGUCGGCAUGUGGCUAGGGUUCAUGCAUCUGGUUUUGGUUCUAUUUUCAAGUGGAGGGUGAAGUCUAACAUUUCCCGCCCUCUGAUGGGAGUUUUGUACCUGAGGAUAGAUUGUGAUACAAUGACUCUUGACAUGGGUGAGGCUAAUAAGAAGCUUCGGAUCACUAGCGACGGUAUACAGCAAUUAUUUGGUUUCCCUCGUGGUGGUCGUUCUGCGCCAUGGCCGUUAGAGGACGGAUAUGACGACGCUCU
rnacentral:lncRNA from 1 species